UGGAUGCACUAGGUGCAUUACAUAUAAAUAUUUUAGUUUUUUAUUUUUUUACAAAAUUUUUCGCUUUUCCGCAAUCAUAUGUUUCAAGACUUAAAAUACUGUCAGUUUUUCAGGUGCUUGAAAAUUUGCGAAUCAACCUUUAAUGAAGUUGAUAUAUACGGUUGAAAUUUGCGUUUUAUGUUAAUUCGCAUGGAAAUACUCGACCGCGCUGGUUAUGAUUAACAAUAAAUGAUAAAAUUUGAGUGAAAAAUAAUUUAAUUCAAGAAUAUUGUCCUUAAUUAUACUAGUUGCUUAAUUAAACGAUUUAUUUAUAGUACUUAAUUGACACUGUCAUUAUAUUUACACAGACUUGGUUUAUUUUUAAAAAUAAUUAUCUGCUUGUUUUUAUUCCGGAUAAUAAACAGUGAAUAAAAAGUUUUAAAAUCAGUGUUUCCAUAUUUUGAAAAAAUGUCGGUCUCAAAUCUAAGACAAGUAAUCUGGAAAUUGAAUAGCUUGAAGAUGACAAAUUUAAAAUACCACACGCAAACGAGUUCAAUAACUACCAGAUCCGGAGCCAUCCUUCCUGAGCCUAAGACCCAGCCACUUGGAUGGGUUGGAGUUAUUGCUGGAGUAUCCCUGGGGCUUCUUAUUGGAGCAACAAUUAGUAAAAACAUAGCCAAUUUCUUAGAAGAAAAUGAUUUAUUUGUUCCAUCCGAUGACGACGGCGAUGAUGAUUAAGUAUUUAUUUUUACAAAUCAAUAACAACUGUAACUAGGUAUCAACUAUUCCGAGACGUAGAGCAAAUAAAUAUCAUCAGGAUGAUACGUUAAGAUCAAGCCUGUCGCUGCUACAUUAUAUUACUUCAAGAAAAAGUACUUCCUACUCACUUGCUCAGAAUGUUCUAGAUGGCUUUAUUCCUAUAAUUUCAACCUCAAGAAUGUAUUUAUUAAUUUUAAAAAUAAAUAAGUCAAUCAUUAUAUUAAAUUUUUUUUGUUAUAGUUUAAGAAGAAUAUAGUUUUUUCAGUAAAAAAAAAAAAUAUUUAUUGUAAAAGCGUAUUUUAUGUUACUUAUUUUUCUCUGUAUAUUUUAUUUUAAAGUUCAAUUGUAUUUAAUAUAAUAAAAAUUCUUUACUAUAUUAUAA